rnacentral:rRNA from 1 species
UACGGAGGGUGCAAGCGUUAUCCGGAUUCACUGGGUUUAAAGGGCGCGUAGGUGGGUUUGUAAGUCAGUGGUGAAAUCUCCAGGCUUAACCUGGAAACUGCCAUUGAUACUAUAGAUCUUGAAUUUUCUGGAGGUAAGCGGAAUAUGUCAUGUAGCGGUGAAAUGCUUAGAUAUGACAUAGAACACCAAUUGCGAAGGCAGCUUGCUACAGGAAUAUUGACACUGAGGCACGAAAGCGUGGGGAUCAAACAGG